rnacentral:rRNA from 1 species
GAUGAACGCUGGCGGCGUGCCUAAUACAUGCAAGUCGAGCGAACAGAUGAGGAGCUUGCUCCUCUGACGUUAGCGGCGGACGGGUGAGUAACACGUGGAUAACCUACCUAUAAGACUGGGAUAACUUCGGGAAACCGGAGCUAAUACCGGAUAAUAUAUUGAACCGCAUGGUUCAAUAGUGAGAGACGGUUUUGCUGUCACUUAUAGAUGGAUCCGCGCCGCAUUAGCUAGUUGGUAAGGUAACGGCUUACCAAGGCGACGAUGCGUAGCCGACCUGAGAGGGUGAUCGGCCACACUGGAACUGAGACACGGUCCAGACUCCUACGGGAGGCAGCAGUAGGGAAUCUUCCGCAAUGGGCGAAAGCCUGACGGAGCAACGCCGCGUGAGUGAUGAAGGUCUUCGGAUCGUAAAACUCUGUUAUUAGGGAAGAACAAAUGUGUAAGUAACUAUGCACGUCUUGACGGUACCUAAUCAGAAAGCCACGGCUAACUACGUG